rnacentral:lncRNA from 1 species
CUCUAAAGGUGUCUGAAGGUGACCAGUGUGGCUGCAGACGACCAACGUGGUGCACAUCAAACACUAGGUGAGACCAAUCCCACCCCGAGAGACAAAUCAAAGCAGUGGACUUUGCACGCUUCAGGAAAGAAGUUUGAAUUGUUAGAAUUUUCUGCCUGGCCGGGUAAAGCCACUAAAGAGGUGUUGAGGGAGGUGAAUUUAAAGAGAUGUGGCCAAAGAACAAAAGCUUCUUGUGUACCUGUUGUCUGGCAAUUUUUGCCCCAGAGAAUGUAUUUUCAGCAAAGAAGGCAGGGAAGCUGAGGAAGAGGGGGAAGCAGAGCCAGGAAUGCUGGAGGCAGCACAGAGGAUCCAGAAAGAUUGGGCACUUCCCAUCUCCACCGUGGCCAUCAACAGCAUCCGAGGGCAGGGAUGGAGCUGCAGGUGGCUCUUUGAGACAACACAAACAGAUUAAGGGCAGUGGCCUUACAAAGUGACAAUAACUUCCCACUCCAGUCCUGUUCAAAGAGUAGACUUUCACCAAUCCUACAAGGGAUGUAAACUGAGGUCUGGGACAGCAGAAAGUGCUGCCCAAAGCACAGUUUGUGUCUGCAAGUGCAUUUGGCAACUUGGGUGUAUCUCCUUUUCAUUGGUUUGCUCAAGGAAGAACCUUACAACAUCCACACUCUCUCUGUGCUCUGAAAAGUCUUGUCCAUCAAAGAAGCCUUCCUGUCUGCUGGGAAGUGACCUGUGUGCAGCCAGACCAGCUCCCAGCUCAGCUCCAGGUCUCCUGAUGAGCUCCAGCUCUGGCAUCCACCGUGGCUCAGCUGUGUUUGGCACACACGAGGGAGGUGGGAUGUCUUGGGACAGGUUUGUUCCAACUGUGCACCCCGGCUGCUGCCAGGAAAUCAGCUCCAGCAGCUUAUCUGACCAUAUGGGAACCUUCUGGGGUGUCUCCAUGGGGCAUCCUUGGGCUCUUGGCUUUGCAGGGCUGCAAUUCCCUCCCUCCUGUGGCCCGCAGUGAAAGCUGGCAGGGAGGGGGCUGAAGGGUGACUCUUGUAUAUGUUUGAGACUGGAGAUCUUGUAGGAUUAAAACCCAAAAGAUACACUUUCAAAAUGUGUGAGAUUUCACACACUUAAACCCCUCCCAUAUAGUAAAAAAAAUUAUAAAUAUAUGUAUAUACACAAUGUAUAUUGUAUAAUAAAUUUAAUUUUUAAAAAAAAAAAAAAAUCUGA